GAUGAACGCUGGCGGCGUGCUUAACACAUGCAAGUCGAACGGAGUGCCUUUGAAAGAGGAUUCGUCCAAUUGAUAAGGUUACUUAGUGGCGGACGGGUGAGUAACGCGUGAGGAACCUGCCUUGGAGUGGGGAAUAACACAGUGAAAAUUGUGCUAAUACCGCAUAACGUGCGAGGGAGACAUCUCUCUUGUACCAAAGGAGCAAUCCGCUGAUAGAUGGGCUCGCGUCCGAUUAGGUAGUUGGUGAGGUAAUGGCUCACCAAAGCCGACGAUCGGUAGCCGGACUGAGAGGUUGAACGGCCACAUUGGGACUGAGACACGGCCCAGACUCCUACGGGAGGCAGCAGUGGGGGAUAUUGCACAAUGGGGGAAACCCUGAUGCAGCGACGCCGCGUGGAGG
rnacentral:rRNA from 1 species